rnacentral:lncRNA from 10 species
GCUGUGCCUGGGUGCAUCACGAUUCACCUAAAAAUCACCACUGAAAUCCGCAGCAGGCAAUUGUGCCAGACAACAGGUGAUGACGGGGGCAAACACGACUCAGCUUCUGCCUGCAGCAUCUACAGUCAUGGAAGGAGACCUCCGGUAACCCAGUGAAAGUGUGGUGUUUGCUGUGAGAGGGAGCAGACGCUCACUGCCAUAGAUCUCAGAGACCACCAAGGCUGAAUAAGCUGAACAACGCAUGCGGAAAGUCCACAGGCCUGCACACCAAUGGCCACAGCCUGUUCUCUCCCUGCAGGUAGGACACUCAUGCGGUACCACCCUUCCUGAGGACACCUUCCUUCCAUUGCCUGGACAGCAGCAUCCUGCCCUGGGCCACCCUCCAUGUGGAUGCCCUUCCCACUUCCCCAGGGCACUGACUCCAAGCGCAAGGUGCCCUUGCAAUAGACACUCUCCUCACCCCUCUAGUUCUGCCAUCCUGCCCUGGGCCACCUUCUGUGUAGACCCCUCCUCACCCCACUGAGGGUCUGAGUCUCCGUGCCAGGACAUCCUCCCUGGACAGGACCCCCUUCGGACCCUGCUUUGGUCUCCGACACAUGCUGGGCUGCCCCCUCCUAUGUUGGCACCCUCCUCGCUCCACAUGGGCAACCUCACACUGGACCACCGCCCUUGUGUGAGCCUCUAUCUCACCCCGGUGGACUCCACCCUCCUGCUCUGGGCACGCUACUUCCUCCCCACUCAGCUACAGAGGCCUGCCUUGCUCUACCUUACCUAAUGGCUUCUGAACAGAAUUUUCUAGAAGGGAGAGGAAGAAGCAUCGAGCUGGUUCUCUUGGCCUGUUCCUGGAUCCCAUCCUUCUCCUUUGUUCCCGGCUCCUCCAUUCUCUAGGAAUCUCAAUCUCUUCCGGCAUUGCUGAGUUCUCAAGCUCUCUACUUUCCACUGAGCCUGUGAGUCCAGCAGGGACUGGGGUUGGGAUGCAGUUUUCAGAGACCUGUGACUACACCUUUGUUACUGGAUAGACUCCUCAGCCCUGGAUCAGCCACAGCCCUCUCCCAGGAAGCCCCUCAACUCUCUGCUAUUACCCUUCUCCAAGGCCUGAAAACAGGACUCUCUCUUCGAGAAGAUCACAGACCCUUGAGAAGAUACAGAAAUUCUCUGCUCGGCCCAAGUCAAAAUAAAAUGACUGAAUAGGCCAGGGCAGCACAGACGAGAGAGGAGUUUUCUCUGGGGCAGUGGUUCUCCAAGUGUAGUCACUGAGCAAGCAGCAGCAGAGUCAGCUGGGAACUUGUGGGACAUACAGAUCCUGGAGCCCCACCCAGACUACUGAAGCAGAACCUCCUGGGGUGGCGCUGGCAAUCUGUGUUUUAAUAAGCCCUCCUCAUUCUGAUGUCCUCUAAAGUGUGAGAACCACAGCUCCAGAAUACUGCAGGGCAGUGACGGGUGGAGGAGAAGGAGUAGGGCUGACUUCUCAGAAGAGUCCCGAAGACCUUGUCCUUGAGUCUGCAGAGAAGUUCACCAGGCAGACAAAGAAAGAAAGAGCAAGCCCAGGCAUACCCACAAGUACCAUCUGAGCUCUGCAUACCUUCUGAUAUAUGUUUAAUAAUCUUGGAAUAACAAUUGUAUUGAUAUUAUGUUGUUUAGAGUAAGUGGCAAUGUAUUCUUUGAAGAGUUAAAACUGUUUUCUGUGUUUAGAAAAGUUCUCACUUGAACUUAAUUUUGUGUUCUAAAUUUAACUAAGGAUUAUUUUUAUACAAACUUUUGAAAGCUUACUAAAUUUAUCUGAUUAACUUGUUAACAGUAGGUAGUUAGGCAGACAUAAGCAGGGCAGACCCCCACCCCCACCCCAGGAACGUCAGACAACCAUCAGGUGAUGGUCAGGAAGUUGUUCCACUGCUCCCUAAAAUAAUAACUGAUCGCACCCAGCACCAGGGAAAGGCAGUCUCCCAAUAGAUAGAAAACACCUGGCCGGGCACGGUGGCUCACGCCUG